UGGGGAAUAUUGCGCAAUGGGGGAAACCCUGACGCAGCAACGCCGCGUGGGUGAUGAAGGCCUUCGGGUUGUAAAUCCCUUUCGGCCGGGAAGAGGGGUAUUACGUUGAAUAGGCGUAGUAUUUGAUGGUACCGGAAGAAGAAGCACCGGCAAACUUCGUGCCAGCAGCCGCGGUAAUACGAAGGGUGCGAGCGUUGUUCGGAAUUAUUGGGCGUAAAGGGUUCGUAGGCGGGAAGACAAGUUGAGUGUGAAAACCCUGGGCUUAACCUGGGACGUGCACUCAAAACUGUUUUUCUUGAGUACCGGAGAGGGUGGUGGAAUUGCAGGUGUAGGAGUGACAUCCGUAGAGAUCUGCAGGAACGCCAGAGGCGAAAGCGACCGCCUGGCCGUGUACUGACGC
rnacentral:rRNA from 1 species